GCCGCGCAGUUCGCAGCUGGCCGCCGGGCGAGCGACUGCCUGCAACGGGAACCUUAAUCGGUUUGACACUUGCCCAGCGCGCGAUAACACGAAAACCUUACCUCUAAUAGGAAUUGCUAUACUAUAAACAUUUAAACUUUUUUCACUUUUUGACUGAAUUCUUCAAUUUAUUAGACAUUUUUUGUGUUGUGCAAAGACGUUUUGUGAAAAUUUCAUGUGUUUGUGACAAGGAAAAAGACACUCGGAAGGUUGUGAAUUUACGCCUCGUUAACUCGGAGGAGAAAAGCCGAAAAAAGAUCGUCGCUUACAUCCGCUCAUUGGAGUGAUAAAAUUUAUGACAAACGAUUUACCAAUGACUGACUUCAAAAUACCACUUCUUUAUGUUAAGUGGACAGCAUGACUUGGUGGGCGCGAGCACGCAAGAUGAGUUUAGUGUCAAGAUGAAAGGGCGAUGCGGGGCUCACUGGGCGGGACGCGACGCCGCGUGAUGCGGG